rnacentral:lncRNA from 1 species
AAGAAUCGCCAAUGAGUAUAGUGUGACAAGGAAAUAAAGUAAAGAACGGCUAACGAAUAAGAAUAGCUAAUAAAGUAAAGAACGGCUGACGAGUAAGAAUAGCUAAUAAAGUAAAGAACGGCUGGCGAAUAAGAAUAGCUAAUAAAGUAAAGAACGACUAACGAAUAAGAAUAGCUAAUAAGGUAAAGAACAGCUACAAGUAAAGAAUGGCUAAUAAUAUGAAGUAGAAUCAAUUAAUCUACUUGCAUGAGUUACAGGAUUUGGAUAAUGU